UUCUAGCGGCGGACGGGUGAGUAACGCGUGAGCAACCUGGCCUUUAACAGGGGGAUAACGCAUCGAAAGAUGUGCUAAUACCGCAUAAGACCACGGUUUCACAUGGGACAGGGGUCAAAGGAGCAAUCCGGUUAAAGAUGGGCUCGCGUCCGAUUAGCUAGUUGGUGAGAUAACAGCCCACCAAGGCGACGAUCGGUAGCCGACCUGAGAGGGUGAUCGGCCACAUUGGAACUGAGAUACGGUCCAGACUCCUACGGGAGGCAGCAGUGGGGAAUAUUGGGCAAUGGGCGAAAGACCCUGACCCAGCAACGCCGCGUGAGGGAAGAAGGGUUCCGGCUCGUAAACCUCUGUCCUGUGGGACGAAGGAAGUGACGGUACCACAGGAGGAAGCCCCGGCUAACUACGUGCCAGCAGCUGC
rnacentral:rRNA from 1 species